AAGAAAGACUGAAAAAGAGGCAGAAGAUGUCAAGGCUAGAUGGCACAAAGAAUGAACUACCACAUUUUCAACAGGCGAUGUUCAGUUUUUGAACUAGCUUCCAAAAAAUCUAGUGGUUUUUUGGUUUUUUUUGAAGACUCAAAAAUCAGAUGAGAUUCUUUUCCUGAAAAAAUUGUAAGACAAGCAUGAGUCUAAACAUCCAAUAUUGACGUACUUGGAAGCCAAAGCUGAAGACAGAACUGAGGUCUAAAGUGACCACCUCUGGUUUGUAAAUCUGCAAUGUGUUCACUAACUAAUGGAGGUUAAUUUAUUGUGUUGAUAAGCAGUAGCUGGGGACAGCCAUAGGCAUUUUUUUCUCCAUAUUUUCUUCUCUGAUCAAACCUGCAGAGCUUUCUAGAGUUAUGACCACAGGAAGUCCUGGCCUUUUUCUUGAAAGAAUUGCACAGCAAUCCUACCAAUAAUGUGAUAUAACUUACUGUGUGUAUACAUAGAUUCGGAAAUACAUAUAUGCACUUACAGGUACAUGUGUACACAAAUACACCUAGAAGCAUAAAAGGAUGAAGCAAAGGUUAUGUAGAAACUUCAUAAUCUCUGAAAACCUCUCUGUCAGUAAGAUGUCAGCUCCUUUUUUUGUUUAAAAAAAUCCAAACCUUCUUUUGCCAAGUAGUCAUAAUCACUGCUAACUGGGUCAUAAAUUCCACUCUGCUUGUUGCUGCUUCUUAGCUCAUCACUAAAAAUGGCCCAAGCAGAUGAGUACUGCUCUCUGCAAAAUGCAAAUUUGAAACCUACACUGCUGGCUAUAGCUCAGUGUUAGGAACUCUAAAGCUGUUCAUGCUUUCAGCACAUAGAAAAACAUCAGCCAUGCCAAGGACGAUCAAAUUCGGAUUUACUGAUUGGAAACUGGAACAACAUGGGACAACCCUCCUCACAUGACAAGUUUAUUAGUCUUCCAAACAUCAGAGGCAGGCCUGCAUAUUAGUUGACUAAACACUAAAGGAGCAAAAAGGUCCAGAUAGCUGGAAAAUAUUUAUGAAGGAAAUUUUAAUUUAUGUUUUGUACAUUGGUGAUGAUUAUAGAGGAAAGAUGGAUGAUGGAGCCCUGUUUUCCUAGAGCCUGCUAAGGGGAAGUGGUGAAUGAAUACUUUGGUUUUCUUAGCUUGUCUGUGCAGACUUUGCUUUACUGAUUAAACUAUUUUUAUCACAACACAUGA